UAUAAAAUAAAGUAGGUGCUGGUUUAAUACAGACACCUCCUUUUCAUUCCCCUUUCAAAAACUAAUUGGUAAAAUUAAAUGCAGUAGGAUGCUCUGCCCUCUGUGCCUUCUUGAAUCCAAGUUUCCUUUGGAGCCGCCUGGCACAGCAAGCAGGUAAAGCCAGCUCUCAACAGACUCCUCCAGGUGCUUCCUUUCUGGUGCAGGGUUGAUUAGGCAGAAAUGGAAUGUCUCAGCUCAGCCCUUAGGGUAAGACCCUAGCAGAAUUGGAUAUCAAGAAAAGGACACAAGCGAGUGGUAGACCAGAAAAGCGGGAGACUGCUGGGCUUUGGGAGCAAAUGUGUCAGCAUGAGGCUGUUCAUUCUAUUUGCUGGAAUAUAAUGCUGCCACAGAGACCCCACACAACAGUGGUUUAUAUGAGGUAUGUCUUUCUGUCGCAUGACAAUCCCAGCUCCAGCAGUCCAUGGCUAGGACGGUGCCUCCUACUAUCCUACCAUGUCACUAUCUGAUCACGCUUCCCCCAGCCUGCCCCCAUCCAUGAUGCCCACCGGACCUUCGAGGGUUGCCCUCAUCCAAGGGACCUGGGACAGCCUGCCACCACAAACACAUGCCGCCAGCAGGUUGACAGAAGAAGGGCUCCUUGCCUUUAAGGGCACACAGGCCAUUUCUGCUCACACAUCCCACCAGCCAGACUGUGAUCACAAGGCCUCUGCUGGCUGCAAGGAAGCUGGGACAUGCAGUCUUGAUGCUAUGUGGCCACAGGCUCAAUAAAAAUUAUUUUACUCUGGAAGGAGGGAGAACUACUAUGAGUUUACCAGGAACAGCUUCUGCUCACAUAUAUCCAGGAAGAAUCUGGUCUCCAAGACGAUUCAGAGCUAAACAAAAAAAUCAAACAGCAGCAGCGUGGUUAACAACACGAAGCAACCGUGACCAUGAGAACAGAAGCAGGCAAGAAAAGACUUAUGUGUCAGCAAGGACACAGGCAGGGUGAAGGUGGACAGUUCAGAAACAAAAGAAACAGCAGAAGGUACUCGCUUUGCAAAAUCAAACCAGUCUCAUAGAAGAGCAGCCAAAGGACAAAAGCAAUUAUACCUCAUUUAAAUCACCACAUUAGUUCCAUAGCCUGUGAGCGCAGCUAAAUGGUACAAUCUAAUGCUUAGCAAUGAGUUAGUUUGUUCAUGUAACUUCAGGUUUCAAGAUGCCCUGUCAACUCCACCAAGUCAUCGUUGCUCGGUUUGCAGAUGACCAGCUCAUCAUCGAUUUUGAUAAUUUUGUUCGGUGUUUGGUUCGGCUGGAAACGCUAUUCAAGAUAUUUAAGCAGCUGGAUCCCGAGAACACUGGAACAAUAGAGCUCGACCUUAUCUCUUGGCUCUGUUUCUCCGUACUUUGAAGUUACAACUAAUCUGCCUGAAGACUUCUCAUGAUGGAAAAUCAGCCAAGGAUUAAGCUUCCAUAGAAAAACACUUUGUAUCUGGACCUCAAAAUUAUGGGAACAUUUACUUAAACGGAUGAUCAUAGCUGAAAAUAAUGAUACUGUCAAUUUGAGAUAGCAGAAGUUUCACACAUCAAAGUAAAAGAUUUGCAUAUCAUUAUACUAAAUGCAAAUGAGUCGCUUAACCCUUGACAAGCUCAAAGAAAGCUUUAAAUCUGUAAAUAGUAUACACUUUUUACUUUUACACACUUUCCUGUUCAUAGCAAUAUUAAAUCAGGAAAAAAAAAAUGCAGGGAGUUAUUUAACAGCUGAGCAAAAACAUUGAGUCACUCUCAAGGGACACGAGGCCCUUGCAGGGAAUAUUUAAAGCAACUUCAAGUUUGAAAUGCAGCUGUUGAUUCUACCAAACAACAGUCCAAGAUUACCAUUUCCCAUGAGCAAACUGGGAAACAUGGUAUAUCAUGAAGUAAUCUUGUCAAGGCAUCUAGAGUCCAGGUGAGAAGACUCACCUCUGUCGCUUGGGUUAAACAAGAGACAGGUUUUAUAGAAUACUGAUUGGUAAUAGUAAAUCGUUCUCCUUACACUCAAGUUCUUGACCCUAUUCGGCCUUAUAAAUCUGGUCUUACAAAGACCAAAGGGAUCCUGUGCUUGAUCAACUGAACCAGUAUGCCAAAACCAGGCAUCCAAUUUGCAAACCAAUUAUGAUAAAGGACAAAAUAAGCUGUUUGCCACCUCAAAACGUUAUGAACUUCAUCACCACUAGUGUCUGUCCAUGGAGUUAGAGGGGACAUUGCUUAGAAGUUCUUAUAGAAAGGACACAAGUUUGUUUCCUGGCUUUACCUUGGGAAAAUGCUAGCAACAUUAUAGAAAUUUUGCCUUGUUGCCUUAUCUUCUUCCAAAUGUACUGUUAAAUAAAAAUAAAGGGUUACCCCAUGCAAUCACACCAUGCCAUGUUUUCCUUCCUGGAGGGCAGCCCCACAGGACGGUUUAUGAGCACACAUGAUUAUAGCUUGUUUCUACUUUAACAAGGUGUGCUCCCUCUAAAUUCAUGUAUUCAAAGGAAAUCUUGCCUAUAAUUAAAAUGCGGAACUAUAAAAUUUUUUUAAAAUCCAA
rnacentral:sRNA from 1 species